UACGUAGGGUGCAAGCGUUGUCCGGAAUUAUUGGGCGUAAAGAGCUCGUAGGCGGUCUGUUGCGUCGGCUGUGAAAACCCGGGGCUCAACUCCGGGCCUGCAGCCGAUACGGGCAGACUAGAGUUCGGCAGGGGAGACUGGAAUUCCUGGUGUAGCGGUGAAAUGCGCAGAUAUCAGGAGGAACACCGGCGGCGAAGGCGGGUCUCUGGGCCGAUACUGACGCUGAGGAGCGAAAGCGUGGGGAGCAAACAGG
rnacentral:rRNA from 1 species